rnacentral:tRNA from 1 species
AUUAAGGUGGCAGAGACGGUAAUUGCAUAAAACUUAAGCCUUUAUAACCAGAGGUUCAACUCCUCUCCUUAAUA